AACGAACGCUGGCGGCAUGCCUAACACAUGCAAGUCGAACGAUCCCCUCGGGGAUAGUGGCGCACGGGUGCGUAACGCGUGGGAAUCUGCCCUUGGGUUCGGAAUAACAGUUAGAAAUGACUGCUAAUACCGGAUGAAGUCUUCGGACCAAAGAUUUAUCGCCCAGGGAUGAGCCCGCGUAGGAUUAGGUAGUUGGUGAGGUAAAGGCUCACCAAGCCGACGAUCCUUAGCUGGUCUGAGAGGAUGAUCAGCCACACUGGGACUGAGACACGGCCCAGACUCCUACGGGAGGCAGCAGUGGGGAAUAUUGGACAAUGGGCGCAAGCCUGAUCCAGCAAUGCCGCGUGAGUGAUGAAGGCCUUCGGGUCGUAAAGCUCUUUUACCCGGGAUGAUAAUGACAGUACCGGGAGAAUAAGCCCCGGCUAACUUCGUGCCAGCCGCCGCAGUAACAC
rnacentral:rRNA from 1 species